rnacentral:misc_RNA from 1 species
GAUGAAGAACGCAGCGAAAUGCGAUAAGUAAUGUGAAUUGCAGAAUUCAGUGAAUCAUCGAAUCUUUGAACACACAUUGCGCCCGCCAGUAUUCUGGCGGGCAUGCCUGUUCGAGCGUCAUUUCAACCAUCAAGCCCCCGGCUUGUGUUGGGGACCUGCGGCUGCCGCAGGCCCUGAAAACCAGUGGCGGGCUCGCUAGUCACUCCGAGCGUAGUAAUACAUCUCGCUCAGGGCGUGCUGCGGGUUCCGGCCGUUAAAAGCCUUAUUUACCCAAGGUUGACCUCGGAUCAGGUAGGAAGACCCGCUGAACUUAAGCAUAUCAAUAAGCGGAGGA